rnacentral:rRNA from 1 species
UCUGGUGGUUCUAGCGGUGGGGAAACACCUGAUUCCAUCUCGAACUCAGAAGUUAAGCCCAUUAGCGCCGAUGAUACUCAACAGGGGAAAGUAGGCCGUCGCCAGUU